UCUGAAACUUAACCACUUAUCUCUGCACGUGUGACAUUAGUCGGCAGCAAACAUUCAUAAACACAAAGGUUUGGGAGUCUCUGCAAAAUCUCUUCCCCCUUCUCCUAGGUACCUGAAGAUCAGUGACUAGAGAACAGGUCAAAAUGGUGGCAUCAUUCACUUACGUGAAGCCAGAGUAGCGCUUGCUCCUGCACAGUGGAGGGAUAUCCUGUAAACCGACAACUAAUAAAGCCGAACAUCUCUUCCAUUGAAAACGGCAGAGGACACAGCUCUAUGUCAAACAUUUUGCUGGAAAGCAGAGCAACAAAAAGAGAAACACACCAAAGAACUUCUGGUGGUGUUCCAGCAGCUUCUUGCAGCUUUCUCUGAUUCAGGCCUAUUGGCAGAGCCUCACGGUGUCUUGUGGCUUGAACUGUUUAUUGCUGGUUCAUGAGUGAACGGUGUUUGCGAGUAGAACGAGCUACCGCUGCUGAUUCAUGACCCACUUUGGGAAGAGAGAGGUUCUACUAACGACACAUCUACUAACGACACUCUCACAGAGUCAUAUCAGACUGCUCUUCUACCCCACUCUAAGAGAAAUAACAGGAAGCAUGCAAGCACUUCCUGUUCCAGCAACUCAAAACUGCCCUACAUGUAAAGAUGAAAUUUUACGAAGGAGUCAGUAGGUGGCAGCAAAGAAGAGAGGACCAUCUCCUAUCUCCAUAACUGCUCAGCCUCUGAAUCCUGGAGUCACAGACAUUCCUGCCGACGGUCUGUAUUCUGGGUUAACCUCAAAUAUCUCAUAUCAGUGCAGUUUUAAACUGAAAAUUACCUCAAUGUCUUUUUGAAAGAAGAAAAAUUACAAAUAAAAAUAAAACCUAGAAAAUA